GAUGAACGCUGGCGGCGUGCCUAAUACAUGCAAGUCGAGCGAAGCGGGUACGGGUGAGUAACACGUGGAUAACCUCCUAUUAGACUGGGAUAACUUCGGGCAACCGGCGCUAAACCGGAUGCUUAUAGAUGGAUCCGCGCUGCAUUAGCUAGUUGGUAAGGUAACGGCUUACAAAGGCGACGAUGCAUAGCCGACCUGAGAGGGUGAUCGGCCACACUGGAACGGAGACCCGGUCCAGGCUCCAGCGAGAGGAAGCAGUAGGGGACCUUCGGCAAUGGGCGAGAGCGUGUCGGAGCAAGGCAGAGUGAGUGGUGAAGGACUUGUGAUCUUAAAGCUCUGUUAUUAGUUGAGCGGUACGUAAACAGAAAGCCACGGCUAGCUACGUGCCAGCAGCCGCGGUAAUAC
rnacentral:rRNA from 1 species